GAUAAACGCUGGCGGCGUGCAUGAUACAUGCAAGUCGAACGAAGGAUCGGGCUUGCUCGUUCCUUAGUGGCGGACGGCUGAGUAACGCGUACGUGACCUACCCCGAAGUGGGGAAUAACUGCCCGAAAGGGUGGCCAAUACCGCAUGUGGUCGCACGUUCAUUCGUGCUGGUAAAGCCGCAAGGCGCGUCGGGAGGGGCCUGCGUCCGAUUAGCUCGUUGGUGGGGUAAUGGCUUACCAAGGCGACGAUCGGUAGGUGGGCUGAGAGGCAGGUCACCCAGACUGGGACUGGGAAACGGCACAGACUCCUACGGGAUGAAGGAAUAGGGAAUUUUGCACAAUGGCGGAAACGCUGAAGGAGCAACGCCGGGUGAGGGAUGAAGGCAUGGGGGUUGUAAACCUCUUUUGACAGGGACGAUCAUGACGGUACCUGGCGAAUAAGCCACGGCUAACUACGUG
rnacentral:rRNA from 1 species